rnacentral:rRNA from 1 species
GAUGAACGCUGGCGGCGUGCCUAAUACAUGCAAGUCGAGCGAACAGACGAGGAGCUUGCUCCUUCGACGUUAGCGGCGGACGGGUGAGUAACACGUAGGUAACCUACCUAUAAGACUGGGAUAACUUCGGGAAACCGGAGCUAAUACCGGAUAAUAUUUCGAACCGCAUGGUUCGAUAGUGAAAGAUGGCUUUGCUAUCACUUAUAGAUGGACCUGCGCCGUAUUAGCUAGUUGGUAAGGUAACGGCUUACCAAGGCAACGAUACGUAGCCGACCUGAGAGGGUGAUCGGCCACACUGGAACUGAGACACGGUCCAGACUCCUACGGGAGGCAGCAGUUGGGAAUCUUCCGCAAUGGGCGAAAGCCUGACAGAGCAACGCCGCGUGAGUGAUGAAGGUCUUCGGAUCGUAAAACUCUGUUAUUAGGGAAGAACAAACGUGUAAGUAACUGUGCACGUCUUGACGGUACCUAAUCAGAAAGCCACGGCUAACUACGUG